GUUUUUAAAUGACCAACCAACAGCUUUAAAGUUAAAAAAAAUAAUUAAUAUUCAUGAUAUUAUCGAAGAAGACAUGCAAAGCAGUUCCGUAGUAUAACAUAGGUACGAUGUCAUGGCUCCUGAUUUUACGUAUACAAGUGAGCUGACAAAAUACAUCAUGGAGAUAAUCAAUUUGAACAUAAAGGAAAGAGCAGCUGAAUGGUGUUCAUGGAGAGCAGCAGAAAAAUGGUACUAAGACAGAUAUUAAGCUUCUUUAAUUGUUACGACGUAAAAUGAAAAUCAGGUACUAUGGUGAGAUAUGUUUACAUCUAUCCGGUUUUAAUCGAUAUGCAAGCUACAUGGAAACAGAUGGACUCGUCAUUUUGUCUCUGUAUCCCUGCUGUUACAUACAAUUUUGUUUAGUAUUCUUGUUUGCAUUUUUGAAGAGACCUGGGACUUUCAGAUAAUGGGAAAUUUAUAUUUUCUCUGAAUCAACUUACUAUUGAGAACAGAUUGUUUAAAACCCCAUACCCUUUUAAUGAAAAUAAAUAUACACACUAAUUACUGCACAUAAUUAACACAAAGCGCAAUAACAUAUUUUGUUGUGCAGUACUAUAAUAUAGUGUGAGUAUAUUGAAUAUAUUUGU